rnacentral:rRNA from 1 species
GAUGAGCGCUGGCGGCGUGCCUAAUACAUGCAAGUCGAGCGAACGGACGAGAAGCUUGCUUCUCUGAUGUUAGCGGCGGACGGGUGAGUAACACGUGGAUAACCUACCUAUAAGACUGGGAUAACUUCGGGAAACCGGAGCUAAUACCGGAUAAUAUUUUGAACCGCAUGGUUCAAAAGUGAAAGACGGUCUUGCUGUCACUUAUAGAUGGAUCCGCGCUGCAUUAGCUAGUUGGUAAGGUAACGGCUUACCAAGGCAACGAUGCAUAGCCGACCUGAGAGGGUGAUCGGCCACACUGGAACUGAGACACGGUCCAGACUCCUACGGGAGGCAGCAGUAGGGAAUCUUCCGCAAUGGGCGAAAGCCUGACGGAGCAACGCCGCGUGAGUGAUAAAGGUCUUCGGAUCGUAAAACUCUGUUAUUAGGGAAGAACAUAUGUGUAAGUAACUGUGCACAUCUUGACGGUACCUAAUCAGAAAGCCACGGCUAACUACGUG